UACGUAGGGUGCGAGCGUUGUCCGGAAUUAUUGGGCGUAAAGAGCUUGUAGGCGGUCUGUCGCGUCUGCUGUGAAAGUCGGGGGCUCAACCCUCGAAAGCCGGUGGAUACUGUCGGGCUAGAGUACGGAAGAGGCGAGUGGAAUUCCUGGUGUAGCGGUGAAAUGCGCAGAUAUCAGGAGGAACACCAAUUGCGAAGGCAGCUCGCUGGGACGUUACUGACGCUGAGACGCGAAAGCGUGGGGAGCAAACAGG
rnacentral:rRNA from 1 species